AUUCAUUCAUAUUUUCAUAUAUACUAAAAAUAUUUUUCCUUUACAUAACUCAACAGCCAAUUUUCCAUUUUGAUGUCACAAAUUCUUUGAACUUUUUCAGUUCUUCUAAAACAUAGGGGACUUUUUAAGGACUUGAAGAAGAAAGAUGAGUUCAACCAUGAAGGGGUUGUUGCUAAAGCCCAAUACAAAUAAUAUGUACAUGACAAAAUUACUAAAACACAAGUAUGCAGAAGAGCAAUUUCUAGCAAAGUACUCUUCUUUUGGCAUUCAUAUGAAUUGUUCAAAAUGGAGUAGUAAAGUCAUUAGAUGUCAUCAACAAGAACCUAAUGGCUUUUCAAAUUCCCCAGUAACUCCAAUAAGAAAGCAAACCCCUCCACCUCAGGCAAUUUUGAGUCCUGUUUCAGAAACUACAUCAACUGCAAAAAAGAGAGUUUAUACUUUUGGAAAAGGAAGAAGUGAAGGAAACAAGGGCAUGAAGUCCUUGUUGGGAGGUAAAGGAGCAAACCUUGCUGAAAUGGCAAGCAUUGGAUUGUCCGUGCCGCCGGGGCUUACUAUAUCAACAGAAGCAUGCCAGGAGUAUCAGAUUGCUAAAAAGCUUCCACAAGGAUUGUGGGAGGAGAUACUACAAGGAUUGGAAGUUGUGGAGAAAGAUAUGGGGGCUUUCCUUGGGAACCCCUCCAAGCCCCUCCUUCUUUCGGUUCGAUCUGGUGCUGCUAUUUCUAUGCCUGGGAUGAUGGAUACUGUCUUGAACCUUGGACUCAAUGAUGAAGUGGUUACUGGUUUGGCUGCCAAAAGUGGAGAGAGGUUUGCUUAUGACUCGUACAGACGAUUUCUUGACAUGUUUGGUGAUGUGGUAAUGGGCAUCUCACAUUCAUUAUUUGCGGAGAAGUUAGAGAAGUUGAAGGAUGCCAAAGGAGUGAAGCUUGACACCGAGCUCACAGCAUCUGAUCUUAAACAGCUGGUGGAGCAGUACAAAAAUGUCUACGUUGAAGCUAAGGGUGAAAAGUUUCCUUCAGAUCCCAAAAGACAGUUGGAGUUGGCUAUCAAAGCAGUUUUUGAUUCUUGGGACAGUCCAAGAGCCAACAAAUAUCGGAGCAUUAAUCAGAUAACAGGACUUAAAGGAACUGCAGUAAACAUUCAAUGCAUGGUGUUCGGGAACAUGGGUAACACUUCAGGAACAGGUGUUCUCUUUACUAGGAAUCCGAGCACUGGCGAGAAGAAGCUCUAUGGAGAGUUUCUAAUCAAUGCUCAGGGAGAGGAUGUUGUCGCUGGAAUUAGAACACCUCAGGACUUGGAAACAAUGAAGGAGUGUAUGCCUGAAGCAUACAAGGAGCUUGUUGAGAACUGUGAGAUUUUAGAGCGACAUUAUAAAGAUAUGAUGGAUAUCGAAUUCACUGUUCAAGAAAAUAGACUGUGGAUGCUACAAUGCCGAACAGGGAAGCGUACGGGUAAAGGAGCUGUAAAGAUAGCACUUGACAUGGCGAAUGAGGGACUUGUUGACAAGCAUGCAGCUGUAAAGAUGGUGGAGCCACAGCAUUUAGACCAACUUCUUCACCCCCAGUUUGAAAAUCCAUUGGCUUAUAAAGACAAGGUGAUUGCUAAGGGCCUUCCUGCUUCUCCAGGGGCAGCAGUGGGACAGGUCGUGUUCAGCGCUGAAGAUGCUGAAGAAUGGCAUGCACAAGGGAAGAGUGUUAUUUUGGUGAGAACUGAAACAAGUCCAGAGGAUGUUGGAGGCAUGAAUGCUGCUGCUGGGAUCUUAACCGCAAGAGGUGGCAUGACAUCUCAUGCAGCUGUUGUAGCCCGUGGAUGGGGUAAAUGUUGCGUGUCCGGAUGUGCUGAUAUUCGUGUUAAUGAGUCGGAUAAGGUUCUCAUCAUUGAAGACAAAGUGAUUCAUGAAGGAGAGUGGAUUUCAUUGAACGGAUCAACAGGUGAAGUAAUCUUGGGAAAGCAACCACUAUCACCUCCAGCUAUGACUGGUGAUUUGGAGAUCUUCAUGGCUUUGGCUGAUAAGAUCAGGCGCAUCAAGGUUAUGGCAAAUGCCGACACACCAGAAGAUGCACUAGCAGCAAGGAACAAUGGUGCUGAAGGGAUUGGUCUAUGCAGGACAGAACACAUGUUCUUUGCAUCAGAUGAAAGGAUAAAAGCUGUGAGAAGGAUGAUAAUGGCAGUUACUCUUGAGCAGAGGAAGGAAGCGCUCGACUCAUUGUUGCCUUACCAGAGAUCUGACUUUGAAGGCAUUUUCCGUGCAAUGGAUGGUCUUCCGGUGACAAUUCGACUGUUAGACCCACCACUUCAUGAAUUUUUGCCAGAAGGGAACCUGGAAGAGAUUGUGAGUGAACUAACAACACAUACAGGCAUGCGCGAGGAAGAUGUCUAUUCUAGGAUUGAGAAAUUGUCAGAAGUCAAUCCCAUGCUCGGAUUUCGAGGCUGCAGGCUCGGUAUAUCCUACCCGGAACUGACAGAAAUGCAGGCUCGUGCGAUCUUUCAAGCUGCUAUAACUAUGAACAACCAGGGUAUUUCAGUAUUUCCAGAGAUAAUGGUUCCCCUUGUUGGAACACCUCAGGAAUUAGGACAUCAAGUGACUUUAAUACGCAGUAUUGCAAACAAAGUGUUCUCUGAGAUGGGUGUCACAUUAAGCUAUAAGGUGGGGACUAUGAUUGAGAUUCCUAGAGCUGCUCUGGUUGCAGAUGAGAUUGCAAAGAUAGCAGAAUUCUUUUCCUUUGGAACAAAUGAUCUCACACAAAUGACAUUUGGGUAUAGUCGAGAUGAUGUUGGCAAGUUUCUCCCCAUAUACCUAUCCAAAGGCAUUUUACAAAGUGAUCCAUUUGAGGUACUUGAUCAGAAAGGCGUAGGCCAACUCAUCAAGAUGGCAACAGAAAAGGGCCGUGCAGCUAGGCCUAGCUUAAAGGUUGGAAUAUGUGGAGAGCAUGGUGGGGAGCCUUCAUCAGUUGCAUUCUUUGCAGAGGCUGGACUAGAUUAUGUUUCAUGUUCUCCAUUCAGGGUUCCUAUUGCAAGGUUAGCAGCAGCACAAGUUGUUGUCUGAAAAAGAAUUCAGGAGGAGCAGCUCCAUCACCUUGUUACUCUCAAUUUGUGCAGUUGUAAAUAACUUACCUAGUAGCAAAUGCCUACAAUAACUUCGACCAUAGCAAUAUAAGAAUGGCAUAAGCAAAAAAAUGCAAUGAACAUUAUAGAGGCGUAAAUAAGGGUUUGACUCCUUAUAGACGGGAAAAGAAAGAUCAGGGCUUUGGAUGAUAGAGAAUGCUCUUGGCAGUUUUUCUUAUAUAUAUAUUCAGUGAAUAAUGAGAUAAGCAAACUUCGGUGAUAACCAAGAAAUUGAACUAUUUUAAUUCGGUAUUUCAACUAUUUUCUGGUUUUGCGGUUAACAUUUUUAAAGAAUUUCAGUUUUUCAUUGGAUUAAUUCUAUCAAAAAGCUUGUUUAGAAUAAACUUCAAAAAUCUAUUGGUUUGAUUCAUAUAUAAUAGACAUAAUCCAAAUGAGUUUAGUUGCUGGAUGACGGUGUGUUAAGCGAUCAAAGGAGUCAUAGAUGAACGACAAGUCGUUAGACGAGUAUCAGAGCACCAGCUAAUAAAACGGCUUAUCACAAGGUUUUAUAUCAUUGAUAAAAAGUCGUGGGCGUGGAAGGCACCAUGAAACAAUGUCACGUUGUGCUUCGUCGUUUGUGUAAAAACGAUGCUGUAUCGAGUUUCUGUUUAAUUGCUCGUGUCCUCUCCCUCCCGUUUGACAAUAAAACCCUAGGGUGGAGAAUAACCCAAAACCUCUGCGAAUCUCUUGCUCUGUGUAUGUUUGUGUGUGAGUAAAACUGAAGAAUAAAAUCGAAAAGAAUAGAAAAAAAUGGUGAUAGAAAGUUACGUGGUUGUGCACAACAUUGCGAAGAGGCACAACGUGGGCACUCUGGCACGAAGUGCCACCGCAUUUGGUGUGACGGAGCUCAUACUCGUUGGCCGCAGGGACUUCAACGCUUUUGGUAGCCAUGGCUCCACCUCUCACCUCCGAUUCCGCCAUUUGCACUCUCUCCUGGACGCCCGCAAUUUCCUCAAGGAGAAGGAUUGUGAUAUUUGUGGUGUGGAGAUUGCUGAUGGUGCUUUGCCCGUAAAUGAGCAUCCUUUCAAGAAGAGCACGGCUUUCCUUCUUGGCAACGAGGGAACAGGCCUAUCUGCUAAAGAAUGUGAGAUAUGCGACUUUUUUGUUUAUAUCCCACAAUAUGGGUGUGGUACAGCCUCAUUAAAUGUUACCGUAGCAGCUUCCAUUGUUUUGCAUCAUUUUGGAGUUUGGGCAGCCUUUUCUGAGAGAACCCGUGAUGGAAAUAAGUUUAUUGUGGCAGAGAGACCUGUGAAACAGGUGAGAUACUGCACAGAAACUGAAGAAUCUAUCAUUGCAGAGCGAAAAUCUAGAAAAGAACAUACCCGUAAUGGAUUCUUUGAUGAGACAAGAAAUGAAGAUUCAACUUCUAACCUUCUGGAUGCUUUGUUUAGUGAGUAGUAAUUGAACUUGUAUAUGUCAUUUUCUCAACCCUAUAAAACAAAUUGACGUCAUGCAAUUCAUGAGGUGAGAGGUCACGGGUCCUUGUUCCUCAAAGUGUUGUAAAGGAGCAGCAAGCAGCUUAUACCGUUCAGUGCAGAAAAGAGCCUAUCAUCAGUCAAGGUUUGUGAGUAAACCUAUUUAAAAGGAACUUCAAUGAUAGUGUUAGAACAUUUGCAGGUUAAACUCCUCAGGAGGAUGAACAUUAGCUGUAAUGAAAUGUUGAAAUUGAUUCGACUAUGAGCAUGAAUGUUCAAAUACAGAAUAUUUGCUUGAGCAGCAUUGUUAAAGGGUUCUCAAAAAGUGUGGUGUGAAAGAAUAUUUAGAAGUAUCAUUUGGUGAACUUUGAUUAUUAACUUGUUCUGUGUCCGUUGCCAAUAAAACGAGCGAAUCAAACACCCUUGUCUAACAAACUGUUUUUGUCUCUUAUUUUGUAUAGUUUGUGUAACCCAUUAUCCACGAUUUUUCUUUUUAUUUAAGUCUGAAUAGAAUUUGAACUCAGGACCUUGUAAUUUUGUUUGAACUCAUAGAUGGGCAUUUACCCCCUUCAAGACGGAAGUAUGGCUCCACUGAGCACUGGCCUAAUUUGUAUAGUUGUAUUGUUUGAGGAACCUAUUAUCUACUGUGUCAUUUGGCUUUGAC
rnacentral:misc_RNA from 1 species